rnacentral:rRNA from 1 species
UACAGAGGUCUCAAGCGUUGUUCGGAUUCAUUGGGCGUAAAGGGUGCGUAGGCGGCGCGGUAAGUCGGGUGUGAAAUCUCGGAGCUUAACUCCGAAACUGCAUUCGAUACUGCCGUGCUUGAGGACUGGAGAGGAAACUGGAAUUUACGGUGUAGCGGUGAAAUGCGUAGAGAUCAUGAGGAAGACCAGUGGCGAAGGCGGGUCUCUGGACAGUUCCUGACACUGAGGCACGAAGGCCAGGGGAGCAAACGGG